rnacentral:rRNA from 1 species
CCUACGGGAGGCAGCAGUGGGGAAUCUUGCGCAAUGGGCGAAAGCCUGACGCAGCAACGCCGCGUGGGGGAUGAAGGCCUUCGGGUUGUAAACCCCUUUCAGCAGGAACGAAACUGACGGUACCUGCAGAAGGAGCCCCGGCCAACUACGUGCCAGCAGCCGCGGUAAU